GCAUAUCAAUAAGCGGAGGAAAAGAAACCAACCGGGAUUGCCUCAGUAACGGCGAGUGAAGCGGCAAGAGCUCAAAUUUGAAAGCUGGCUCCUUCGGGGUCCGCAUUGUAAUUUGCAGAGGAUGCUUCGGGUGCAGCCCCCGUCUAAGUGCCCUGGAACGGGCCGUCAUAGAGGGUGAGAAUCCCGUAUGGGGCGGGGUGUCUGCGUCCGUGUGAAGCUCCUUCGACGAGUCGAGUUGUUUGGGAAUGCAGCUCUAAAUGGGUGGUAAAUUUCAUCUAAAGCUAAAUACUGGCCGGAGACCGAUAGCGCACAAGUAGAGUGAUCGAAAGAUGAAAAGCACUUUGAAAAGAGAGUUAAACAGCACGUGAAAUUGUUGAAAGGGAAGCGCUUGCAACCAGACUCGCUCGCGGGGUUCAGCCGGGCUUCGGCCCGGUGUACUUCCCCGCGGGCGGGCCAGCGUCGGUUUGGGCGGCCGGUCAAAGGCCUCCGGAAUGUAGCGCCCUUCGGGGCGCCUUAUAGCCGGGGGUGCAAUGCGGCCAGCCUGGACCGAGGAACGCGCUUCGGCACGGACGCUGGCAUAAUGGUUGUAAACGACCCGUCUUGAAACACGGACCAAGGAGUCUAACAUCUACGCGAGUGUUCGGGUGUCAAACCCGUACGCGCAGUGAAAGCGAACGGAGGUGGGAGCCCCCUCGCGGGGCGCACCAUCGACCGAUCCUGAUGUCUUCGGAUGGAUUUGAGUACGAGCGUAAAUGUGGGGACCCGAAAGAUGGUGAACUAUGCCUGAAUAGGGCGAAGCCAGAGGAAACUCUGGUGGAGGCUCGCAGCGGUUCUGACGUGCAAAUCGAUCGUCAAAUUUGGGUAUAGGGGCGAAAGACUAAUCGAACCAUCUGGUAGCUGGUUCCUGCCGA
rnacentral:rRNA from 1 species